rnacentral:tRNA from 2 species
UGCGCGAUGGAGCAGUCUGGUAGCUCGUUGGGCUCAUAACCCAAAGGUCGGAGGUUCAAAUCCUCCUCGCGCAACCA